rnacentral:rRNA from 1 species
UGGGGAAUAUUGGGCAAUGGAGGCAACUCUGACCCAGCCAUGCCGCGUGGGUGACGAAGGUCUUCGGAUUGCAAAGCCCUUUCGGCGGGGACGAUGAUGACGGUACCCGCAGAAGAAGCCCCGGCUAACUUCGUGCCAGCAGCCGCGGUAAUACGAAGGGGGCUAGCGUUGUUCGGAAUUACUGGGCGUAAAGGGCGUGUAGGCGGCCCGCUAAGUCAGGUGUGAAAUUCCUGGGCUCAACCCAGGACGUGCACUUGAGACUGACGGGCUUGAGUCCGGGAGAGGAUGGUGGAACUCCCAGUGUAGAGGUAAAAUUCGUAGAUAUUGGGAAGAACACCCGUGGCGAAGGCGGCCAUCUGGACCGGUACUGACGCUAAGGCGCGACAGCGUGGGGAGCAAACA